GACGAACGCUGGCGGCGUGCUUAACACAUGCAAGUCGAACGGAAAGGCCCUGCUUUUGUGGGGUGCUCGAGUGGCGAACGGGUGAGUAACACGUGAGUAACCUGCCCUUGACUUUGGGAUAACUUCAGGAAACUGGGGCUAAUACCGGAUAGGAGCUCCUGCUGCAUGGUGGGGGUUGGAAAGUUUCGGCGGUUGGGGAUGGACUCGCGGCUUAUCAGCUUGUUGGUGGGGUAGUGGCUUACCAAGGCUUUGACGGGUAGCCAGCCUGAGAGGGUGACCGGCCACAUUGUGACUGAGAUACGGCCCAGACUCCUACGGGAGGCAGCAGUGGGGAAUAUUGCACAAUGGGCGGAAGCCUGAUGCAGCAACGCCGCGUGCGGGAUGACGGCCUUCGGGUUGUAAACCGCUUUCGCCUGUGACGAAGCGUGAGUGACGGUAAUGGGUAAAGAAGCACCGGCUAACUACGUG
rnacentral:rRNA from 1 species